AACGAACGCUGGCGGCAUGCCUAACACAUGCAAGUCGAACGAGACCUUCGGGUCUAGUGGCGAACGGGUGCGUAACGCGUGGGAACCUGCCCUUAGGUUCGGAAUAACUCCCCGAAAGGGGUGCUAAUACCGGAUAAUGUCUUCGGACCAAAGAUUUAUCGCCUUUGGAUGGGCCCGCGUUGGAUUAGCUAGUUGGUAGGGUAAAAGCCUACCAAGGCGACGAUCCAUAGCUGGUCUGAGAGGAUGAUCAGCCACACUGGGACUGAGACACGGCCCAGACUCCUACGGGAGGCAGCAGUGGGGAAUAUUGGACAAUGGGCGAAAGCCUGAUCCAGCAAUGCCGCGUGAGUGAUGAAGGCCUUAGGGUUGUAAAGCUCUUUUACCCGGGAUGAUAAUGACAGUACCGGGAGAAUAAGCACCGGCUAACUCCGUG
rnacentral:rRNA from 1 species